GGACUCCUGCAACCAAUCGGACACGACCCCUCCCUCCUCUUCACGGGUGUCUGUCUGACCAGCCACGCCUCUGUUUUUCCCUUCGGCUCUGACCCGUAGUUAUAAUUUGAUAAGCUCUUUAUCACGCCUUCCGCCUGUUAUCUGCAGUACAAUGCAAUUCCUUGUACUCAGGGGCAUGGGCCCCACUGUGCUUAGAAACCAUGCUGCUUAGGAAUAUGCAUGUAACCUGUGGAAUAUGUGGGAGGUGAGAAUGAGAAAUACCCAACCAAAGGCAGUUUAGGAUCCGUGACCUUUUAAGGCAGAUUAAGACCCUGCAAACAUAAAUUCAUUAACUGAGAAGGGGCCAGAGAGAAUCUUCUCCCUCCCCCUCCCCCGGGCAAGAUGUAAGAUCACAGCAGAAACCUGGGACCGGCCCAGAGAGAGUAAAGCCUCCUGCAGAGCCGAAUGGAUCUCCCAAGGAACGUCAUGGGCGAGGCUCCGGGAAGCUGACGCCAGCCAGCAGCGAAGUCACAAGUGAUCUACAGCGCGCUUGCAGCCUGCCUCCGAACUGCCAGCAGGACUGAGGUGAGUGUCACUUCGCUGUCAAGAAUCAGUGCCGAUAAACAACUCCAAAGCAAGCCUGCUCCUGCCCCCGUUGUCUGGGUUUGAUCCUUAGCAGCGCAGAGGAAGUGCAACAGCUCCAAACCAACUGAGGUGAGACUGGCAACCUGGGGUGAGGCAGGUGGAGUGAGCGAGCACCACGGAGCCAGCUGUGACCAUCCAGUUGGCUUUAACCCCAAGAGGAGUCUGAGCGGGUGACCUGCUGGUCAGACAGGCUGGCUGCAUCGGAGAAGAGGAAAGGACCCACGAUUCUAUGCAGAGAUGAGAGGAGACAGCCCACCUGUGUGGACAAGCACCGUACGGCCCAACCGUCGGCCCUGGGAAAUAGACAUCCACGUGGGGUACUGGAGACACACCUGAGUGCCAUGAGUGAAGGGAGCCCUGGGGUGUCAUACGUCCCCCAAGGCAGCAGCCCAGCCUACAUCACGGUAUCGGGAAGGUAAGGGACAAGGAACAGAAUAGCCAGACCCACGGUCCAGCUAGCCCAGUGUCCGGUCUUCUGUUCAUUCCCGC